UACGUAGGGAGCAAGCGUUGUCCGGAUUUACUGGGUGUAAAGGGUGCGUAGGCGGCUUUGCAAGUCAGAAGUGAAAUCCAUGGGCUUAACCCAUGAACUGCUUUUGGAACUGCAGAGCUUGAGUGGAGUAGAGGUAGGCGGAAUUCCCGGUGUAGCGGUGAAAUGCGUAGAGAUCGGGAGGAACACCAGUGGCGAAGGCGGCCUGCUGGGCUCUAACUGACGCUGAGGCACGAAAGCGUGGGUAGCAAACAGG
rnacentral:rRNA from 1 species